rnacentral:rRNA from 1 species
UGUGGCGCAUGCCACGCUUUUGAAAGAUGGUUUCGGCUAUCGCUUACAGAUGGGCCCGCGGUGCAUUAGCUAGUUGGUAGGGUAAUGGCCUACCAAGGCAACGAUGCAUAGCCGACCUGAGAGGGUGAUCGGCCACACUGGGACUGAGACACGGCCCAGACUCCUACGGGAGGCAGCAGUAGGGAAUCUUCCGCAAUGGACGAAAGUCUGACGGAGCAACGCCGCGUGUAUGAAGAAGGUUUUCGGAUCGUAAAGUACUGUUGUUAGAGAAGAACAAGGAUAAGAGUAACUGCUUGUCCCUUGACGGUAUCUAACCAGAAAGCCACGGCUAACUACGUGCCAGCAGCCGCGGUAAUACGUAGGUGGCAAGCGUUGUCCGGAUUUAUUGGGCGUAAAGCGCGCGCAGGCGGUCUUUUAAGUCUGAUGUGAAAGCCCCCGGCUUAACCGGGGAGGGUCAUUGGAAACUGGAAGACUGGAGUGCAGAAGAGGAGAGUGGAAUUCCACGUGUAGCGGUGAAAUGCGUAGAUAUGUGGAGGAACACCAGUGGCGAAGGCGACUCUCUGGUCUGUAACUGACGCUGAGGCGCGAAAGCGUGGGGAGCAAACAGGAUUAGAU